GACGAACGCUGGCGGCGUGCCUAAUACAUGCAAGUAGAACGCAGUUGCGCACGGGUGAGUAUAGUGUCGGUAACUGCCUCAUAGCGGGGGAUAACUAUUUGAAACGCUAGCUAAUACCCCAUUCUGUGAGAUGGACCUGCGUUGUAUUAGCUAGUUGGUGCGGUAAAGGCUCACCAAGGUGCCGAUACAUAUCCGACCUGAGAGGGAGAUCGGCCAACAUGGGACAGGUGCAGGGCCCAGACUCCUACGGGAAGCAACAGUAGGGAAACUUCGGCAAUGGACGGAAGGCUGAACGAGGAAAGCCGGGUGAGUGAAGAAGGUUUUCGGAUCGUAAAGCUCUGUUGUGAGAGAAGCGGUAACUAAAGAGGAAGGGACGGCUAACUACGUGCCAGCAGCCGCGGUAAUUC
rnacentral:rRNA from 1 species